GCACGGUUAUGGUGGGCGACUCUAAGGAGACUGCCGGUGACAAACCGGAGGAAGGUGGGGAUGACGUCAAGUCAUCAUGGCCCUUACGGCCUGGGCUACACACGUGCUACAAUGGUCGGUACAAAGGGUUGCCAAGCCGCGAGGUGGAGCUAAUCCCAUAAAACCGAUCGUAGUCCGGAUCGCAGUCUGCAACUCGACUGCGUGAAGUCGGAAUCGCUAGUAAUCGUGAAUCAGAAUGUCACGGUGAAUACGUUCCCGGGCCUU
rnacentral:rRNA from 1 species